rnacentral:rRNA from 1 species
UACGGAGGAUGCGAGCGUUAUCCGGAUUUAUUGGGUUUAAAGGGUGCGUAGGCGGGCUUUUAUGUCAGCGGUAAAAAUUCGGGGCUCAACCCCGUCCGGCCGUUGAAACUGGGGGCCUUGAGUGGGCGAGAAGAAGGCGGAAUGCGUGGUGUAGCGGUGAAAUGCAUAGAUAUCACGCAGAACCCCGAUUGCGAAGGCAGCCUUCCGGCGCCCUACUGACGCUGAGGCACGGAAGUGCGGGGAUCGAACAGG